CCUACGGGAGACAGCAGUGAGGAAUAUUGGUCAAUGGACGAGAGUCUGAACCAGCCAAGUAGCGUGAAGGAUGACUGCCCUACGGGUUGUAAACUUCUUUUAUAUGGGAAUAAAAUGUUCCACGUGUGGGUUUUUGUAUGUACCAUAUGAAUAAGGAUCGGCUAACUCCGUGCCAGCAGCCGCGGUAAUACGGAGGAUCCGAGCGUUAUCCGGAUUUAUUGGGUUUAAAGGGAGCGUAGGUGGAUUGUUAAGUCAGUUGUGAAAGUUUGCGGCUCAACCGUAAAAUUGCAGUUGAAACUGGCAGUCUUGAGUACAGGAGAGGUAGGCGGAAUGCGUGGUGGAGCGGUGAAAUGCUUAGAUAUCACGAAGAACUCCGAUUGCGAAGGCAGCUCACUGGACUGCAACUGACGCUGAGGCUCGAAAGUGUGGGUAUCAAACAGGAUUAGAUACCCGGGUAGUC
rnacentral:rRNA from 1 species